rnacentral:rRNA from 1 species
AGAGUGAACGCUGGCGGCAGGCCUAACACAUGCAAGUCGAACGGCAGCACAGAGGAGCUUGCUCCUUGGGUGGCGAGUGGCGGACGGGUGAGGAAUACGUCGGAAUCUGCCUAUUUGUGGGGGAUAACGUAGGGAAACUUACGCUAAUACCGCAUACGACCUACGGGUGAAAGCGGAGGACCUUCGGGCUUCGCGCAGAUAGAUGAGCCGACGUCGGAUUAGCUAGUUGGCGGGUAAAGCCCACAAGGCGACGAUCCGUAG